AUUGAACGCUGGCGGCAGGCCUAACACAUGCAAGUCGAACGAGUGGCGGACGGGUGAGUAAUGUCUGGGAAACUGCCCGAUGGAGGGGGAUAACUACUGGAAACGGUAGCUAAUACCGCAUACCAUCGGAUGUGCCCAGAUGGGAUUAGCUCGCAGGAGGGGUAACGGCUCACCUGGGCGACGAUCCCCAGCUGGUCUGAGAGGAUGACCAGCCACACCGGAACUGAGACACGGGCCAGACGCAGAGGGGAGGCAGCAGUGGGGAAGAUUGCACAAUGGGCGCAAGCCUGAUGCAGCCAUGCCGCGUGUAUGAAGAAGGCCUUCGGGUUGUAAAGUACUUUCAGCGAGGAGGCGUUACGCGCAGAAGAAGCACCGGCGAACUCCGUGCCAGCAGCCGCGGUAAUUC
rnacentral:rRNA from 1 species